UUACUGCAAUGCAUCGUUGAUGAGGAGCCUCCUGUUCUUCCUGUGGGUCAGUUCAGCCAGAAGUUUGUCCACUUCAUCACACAGUGCAUGAAGAGACUCCCCAAAGAGAGGCCUGCUCCUACCAACCUUAUGGUGAGUUACCAUG